rnacentral:rRNA from 1 species
CCUACGGGUGGCUGCAGUGGGGAAUAUUGCACAAUGGGCGCAAGCCUGAUGCAGCCAUGCCGCGUGUGUGAAGAAGGCCUUCGGGUUGUAAAGCACUUUCAGCGGGGAGGAAGGCGGUGAGGUUAAUAACCUCAUCGAUUGACGUUACCCGCAGAAGCAGCACCGGCUAACUCCGUGCCAGCAGCCGCGGGAAUACGGAGGGUGCAAGCGUUAAUCGGAAUUACUGGGCGUAAAGCGCACGCAGGCGGUCUGUCAAGUCGGAUGUGAAAUCCCCGGGCUCAACCUGGGAACUGCAUUCGAAACUGGCAGGCUAGAGUCUUGUAGAGGGGGGUAGAAUUCCAGGUGUAGCGGUGAAAUGCGUAGAGAUCUGGAGGAAUACCGGUGGCGAAGGCGGCCCCCUGGACAAAGACUGACGCUCAGGUGCGAAAGCGUGGGGAGCAAACAGGAUUAGAUACCCCGGUAGUC